rnacentral:rRNA from 1 species
UACAGAGGUCCCAAGCGUUGUUCGGAUUCACUGGGCGUAAAGGGUGCGUAGGUGGUGAGGUAAGUCGGAUGUGAAAUCUCCGAGCUCAACUCGGAAAUGGCAUUGGAAACUACCUUGCUCGAGGGUUGGAGGGGGGACUGGAAUGCUUGGUGUAGCAGUGAAAUGCGUAGAUAUCAAGAGGAACACCAGUGGCGAAGGCGAGUCCCUGGACAACUUCUGACGCUGAGGCACGAAAGCUAGGGGAGCAAACAGG